GGGCGUUUGGCACAGUGGUAGCGCGCACGCUUUGCACUUUACGGGGAUCGAACCCCGGUCAUGUGACUUGCGUGAGGUCGAGGGUUCAAUCCCCUCAACGUCCA